rnacentral:rRNA from 1 species
CCUACGGGAGGCAGCAGUGAGGAAUAUUGGUCAAUGGACGAGAGUCUGAACCAGCCAAGCAGCGUGAAGGAUGACUGCCCUAUGGGUUGUAAACUUCUUUUAUAAAGGAAUAAAACGAGGCACGUGUGCCUUUUUGCAUGUACUUUAUGAAUAAGGAUCGGCUAACUCCGUGCCAGCAGCCGCGGUAAUACGGAGGAUCCGAGCGUUAUCCGGAUUUAUUGGGUUUAAAGGGAGCGUAGAUGGGUUGUUAAGUCAGUUGUGAAAGUUUGCGGCUCAACCGGAAAAUUGCAAUUGAUACUGGCGGUCUUGAGUGCAGGUGAGGUAGGUGGAAUUCGUGGUGUAGCGGUGAAAUGCUUAGAUAUCACGAAGAACCCCGAUUGCGAAGGCAGCUUACUAAACUGUGACUGACAUUGAUGCUCGAAAGUGUGGGUAUCAAACAGGAUUAGAUACCCUAGUAGUC